CCUACGGGAGGCAGCAGUGAGGAAUAUUGGUCAAUGGACGAGAGUCUGAACCAGCCAAGUAGCGUGAAGGAUGACUGCCCUAUGGGUUGUAAACUUCUUUUAUAAGGGAAUAAAACGACGCACGUGUGCCUUUUUGCAUGUACUUUAUGAAUAAGGACCGGCUAACUCCGUGCCAGCAGCCGCGGUAAUACGGAGGAUCCGAGCGUUAUCCGGAUUGAUUGGGUUUAAAGGGAGCGUAGAUGGGUUGUUAAGUCAGUUGUGAAAUUUUUGGGCUCAACCCUAAAAUUGCAAUGGAUACUGGCAGUCUUGAGUACAGUUGAGGUAGGCGGAAUUCGUGGUGUAGCGGUGAAAUGCUUAGAUAUCACGAAGAACCCCGAUUGCGAAGGCAGCUUACUAAACUGUGACUGACAUUGAUGCUCGAAAGUGUGGGUAUCAAACAGGAUUAGAUACCCGUGUAGUC
rnacentral:rRNA from 1 species